rnacentral:rRNA from 1 species
UACGUAGGGGGCAAGCGUUGUCCGGAAUUAUUGGGCGUAAAGCGCGUGUAGGCGGCUCGGUAAGUCUGCUGUGAAAGUCCAAGGCUCAACCUUGGAAAGCCGGUGGAUACUGCCAUGACUCGAGUCCGGUAGGGGAGUGCGGAAUUCCUGGUGUAGCGGUGAAAUGCGCAGAUAUCAGGAGGAACACCGGUGGCGAAGGCGGGUCUCUGGGCCGAACUGACGCGUGGAGGAGCGAAAGCGUGGGGAGCGAACAGG